UACGUAGGGGGCAAGCGUUGUCCGGAAUCAUUGGGCGUAAAGCGCGUGUAGGCGGUUACGUAAGUCUGCUGUGAAAGUCGGAGGCUCAACCUUCGAAAGCCGGUGGAUACUGCGUGACUAGAGUACGGAAGAGGAGAGUGGAAUUCCUGGUGUAGCGGUGAAAUGCGCAGAUAUCAGGGGGAACACCAACGGCGAAGGCAGCUCUCUGGGACGUUACUGACGCUGAGGAGCGAAAGCAUGGGGAGCGAACAGG
rnacentral:rRNA from 1 species